CCUACGGGAGGCAGCAGUGAGGAAUAUUGGUCAAUGGCCGAGAGGCUGAACCAGCCAAGUCGCGUGAGGGAAGACGGUCCUAUGGAUUGUAAACCUCUUUUGUCGGGGAGCAAAAGACGCCACGCGUGGCGUUCCGAGAGUACCCGAAGAAAAAGCAUCGGCUAACUCCGUGCCAGCAGCCGCGGUAAUACGGAGGAUGCGAGCGUUAGCCGGAUUUAUUGGGUUUAAAGGGUGCGCAGGCGGAAGAUCAAGGCAGCGGUAAAAUUGAGAGGCUCAACCUCUUCGAGCCGUUGAAACUGGUUUUCUUGAGUGAGUGAGAAGUAUGCGGAAUGCGUGGUGUAGCGGUGAAAUGCAUAGAUAUCACGCAGAACUCCGAUUGCGAAGGCAGCAUACCGGCGCUCAACUGACGCUCAUGCACGAAAGUGUGGGUAUCGAACAGGAUUAGAUACCCCUGUAGUC
rnacentral:rRNA from 1 species